rnacentral:misc_RNA from 1 species
UAAUAAGUGUUUUAUGGCACUUUUUAAAUCCAUAUCCACCUUGUGUGCAAUGUCAGUCGAUCUUCUUCAUGGAGAUCGACCAAACAUCAACCUUUAUCUUUUAACUCUUAGUCUGAAAAAUAUUAUGAAUAAACAAUUCAAAAUA